GUGGGUAAAGUGGCCCCUUUAGAACUUCCAAUAGUUAAUUUGAUGCAUCUCCUAAGUAGUAAGUUUGAAUUAUUGAUGCACAACAAAAAGGUAGUAGUACUAGCUAGGGGAUUGGAGAGGUCAAGAUCAGAGACGAAUAAGAUAUCAAGAAAUGGAAUUAGUACUUCAUGAGAACGGCCUGUUCUUCUUCUACCUUCUGGUCCUGCUGUUCUGUUGUUUUGCUCGCACAGAGGGUCUCGACCGGAGAGAUUUUCCGUCCGGUUUUGUAUUUGGAGCAGGCUCAAGUGCUUACCAGUAUGAAGGGGCAGCAUAUCAGCAUGGCAAAGGGCCAAGCAUUUGGGAUACUUUCACUAGGAUGCGUCCAGAGAAGAUUAUUGACAAUAGUACGGGGGAUGUGGCUGAAGAUUUUUAUUAUCGUUUCAAGGAGGAUGUAGCUCUGAUGAAAGAAGUCGGUUUAGAUUCCUUUAGAUUCUCCAUCUCGUGGUCCAGAGUACUACCUAAGGGAAAACUUAGUGGAGGAAUAAACCCAGAAGGUGUGAGAUAUUACAAUGAACUCAUCGAUGAGCUCUUAUGCAAUGAUAUAAAACCAUUUAUAACUUUAUUCCAUUGGGACCUUCCACAAGCACUUGAAGAUGAGUAUGGUGGAUUCCUGAGCACGAAGAUUGUGAAUGAUUAUCACGACUAUGCGGACUUUUGCUUCAAUCAAUUUGGGGAUAGAGUCAAGAUUUGGGCCACUUUCAAUGAGCCAAAUACUUUUAGCAGCGAAGGAUAUGCAACUGGAAACACAGCACCAGGUCGAUGUUCAACCUAUGAAGGAAGUUGCGCGGCUGGGAACUCUGCGACGGAACCCUAUGUAGUAGCGCAUAACAUCCUUCUUUCUCAUGCAACCGCUGUAAAAUUGUACAGAGAAAAGUACCAGGAUUCUCAAAUGGGAGACAUUGGGAUUACUGUAUCAACUUUUUGGAUGGUGCCCAAAUACCAAACAGAUGCUAGCACGAAAGCUGCUGCUAGAGCUCUUGAUUUUGCUUUUGGAUGGUUUGUUAAUCCAGUUACAUAUGGUGACUACCCAGAGUCCAUGCGAGCUUUGGUGGGAAGUCGACUGCCCAACUUUACUGAAGCACAAUCCAAUAUGCUAAAGGGGUCUUUUAAUUUUCUUGGGGUAAAUUACUACACUGCAAGAUAUGCAGACGACUCUAAAUCCUCUAGUAGCGUCAAUCUAAGUUACACAACCGAUAGCCAUGUAAAUCUAACCACGGAGAAAGAUGGCAUUCCUAUUGGUGAACCGACCUCUACUUCUUGGCUUUACAUUUAUCCAAGGGGAAUCCAAGAACUUAUUCUAUAUGUAAAGAGGAAUUUCUGUAAUCCUCCUAUUUUCAUCACAGAAAACGGAUAUGUUGAUGUAAAUAAUAGCUCGUUGCCGAUUGAAGAUUUUCUCAAUGAUAGGUCAAGGUUAAAAUACAUACGCCUCCAUCUAUCAAGUCUCUUAAAUGCUAUCAAGACCAACACUCUUGGAAGACGAUUGGAGUGGCUAAACAAGUGGCUGGGUUAUAUUUGUUUCAAACAUCUGAUAUACAUUCUGCUGCUAAUUCUAAGUAUCAUUGCAGCUUAGCCAAAACUGCAGAAGCCACUUCAUCAUCUAACUCGAGUGAAGGUUCAUCCUCAGUUCAAAUCUUAAGCCAGUAUGUAGCAGCACCUACUGAUGUUCAAACACAAUCCUGGCCAAGGAAUAUUUUUCUCUUCAUCAAGUGACUUGCAACUCAAGGCUUUUUGUGAUGUAGACUGGGCUGCUUGCAAAGACACCAGGAAGUCAAUAACUGGUUUUUGUAUUUUCCUUGGACAAUCACUUGUUUCAUGGAAAUCCAAGAAGCAGAACACGGUGUCUAGAUCCAUAGCAGAGGCUGAAUAUCGUGUGAUGGCAGCUACUACAUGUGAAAUAACAUGGCUUUAACACUUGCUCAAAGAUCUGUCUAUUUUCCAAACCAAACCAGCUUUGCUUUUUUGUGAUAAUGAGGCUGCUGUCCACAUGUCUACCAACCCUGUUUUUCAUGAACGAACCAAACAUAUUGACAUAGAUUGUCACAUUGUUUGGGAAAAACUCUUGGCAGGAACCAUGAAGACUUUGCAUGUUUCAUCCAUUCAUCAAUUAGCAGAUAUACUAACUAAGCCUCUCGGUUUUAAUUCUUUUUCUAGUAUUCUUUCCAAGAUGGGUGUCAUUGACAUUUACACUCCAUCUUGAGGGGGAGUAUUAAGUUAGUAAGCCACGUGUAGAAGCCAUGUGUAGAAGAGGUUUAGUUAAGUUAGUGUUAAGUUAGUUUGUAUAUAAAUAGACUUGAACAGAUUGUAACAGAGACGCAAUUCAUUUUUCAAUACAUUUUGGAAUACAUUUUUUUCUUCCUUGCA